GACGAACGCUGGCGGCGUGCCUAAUACAUGCAAGUCGAGCGGAUCUUUGGGAGCUUGCUCCCAAAGAUUAGCGGCGGACGGGUGAGUAACACGUGGGCAACCUGCCUAUAAGACUGGGAUAACUUCGGGAAACCGGAGCUAAUACCGGAUAAUUCAUAUCUACUCAGGUAGGUAUGCUGAAAGACGGUUUACGCUGUCACUUAUAGAUGGGCCCGCGGCGUAGUAGCUAGUUGGUGGGGUAACGGCUAACCAAGGCGACGAUGCGUAGCCGACCUGAGAGGGGGAUCGGCCACACUGGGACUGAGACACGGCCCAGACUCCUACGGGAGGCAGCAGUAGGGAAUCUUCCGCAAUGGACGAAAGUCUGACGGAGCAACGCCGCGUGAGUGAUGAAGGUUUUCGGAUCGUAAAGCUCUGUUGUUAGGGAAGAACAAGUACUAGAGUAACUGCUAGUACCUUGACGGUACCUAACCAGAAAGCCACGGCUAACUACGUGCCAGCCGCCGCAGUAAGAC
rnacentral:rRNA from 1 species